UGCAAGUCGAACGAUGAAGCCCAGCUUGCUGGGUGGAUUAGUGGCGAACGGGUGAGUAACACGUGAGUAACCUGCCCUUGACUUCGGGAUAACUCCGGGAAACCGGGGCUAAUACCGGAUAUGAGCUGCCCUCGCAUGGGGGUGGUUGGAAAGUUUUUCGGUCAGGGAUGGGCUCGCGGCCUAUCAGCUUGUUGGUGGGGUGAUGGCCUACCAAGGCGACGACGGGUAGCCGGCCUGAGAGGGCGACCGGCCACACUGGGACUGAGACACGGCCCAGACUCCUACGGGAGGCAGCAGUGGGGAAUAUUGCACAAUGGGCGCAAGCCUGAUGCAGCGACGCCGCGUGAGGGAUGAAGGCCUUCGGGUUGUAAACCUCUUUCAGCAGGGAAGAAGCGCAAGUGACGGUACCUGCAGAAGAAGCGCCGGCUAACUACGUGCCAGCAGCCGCGGUAAUACGUAGGGCGCAAGCGUUGUCCGGAAUUAUUGGGCGUAAAGAGCUCGUAGGCGGUUUGUCGCGUCUGGUGUGAAAACUCGAGGCUCAACCUCGAGCUUGCAUCGGGUACGGGCAGACUAGAGUGCGGUAGGGGAGACUGGAAUUCCUGGUGUAGCGGUGGAAUGCGCAGAUAUCAGGAGGAACACCGAUGGCGAAGGCAGGUCUCUGGGCCGCAACUGACGCUGAGGAGCGAAAGCAUGGGGAGCGAACAGGAUUAGAUACCCUGGUAGUCCAUGCCGUAAACGUUGGGCACUAGGUGUGGGGCUCAUUCCACGAGUUCCGUGCCGCAGCAAACGCAUUAAGUG
rnacentral:rRNA from 1 species